rnacentral:rRNA from 1 species
UACGGGGGGGGGCAAGCGUUUGUUCGGAAUUACUGGGCGUAAAGGGCUCGUAGGCGGCCAACUAAGUCGGACGUGAAAUCCCUCGGCUUAACCGGGGAACUGCGUCCGAUACUGGAUGGCUUGAGUUUGGGAGAGGGAUGCGGAAUUCCAGGUGUAGCGGUGAAAUGCGUAGAUAUCUGGAGGAACACCGGUGGCGAAGGCGGCAUCCUGGACCAACACUGACGCUGAGGAGCGAAAGCCAGGGGAGCAAACGGG